AAUUUAAUUUAAAAAUUAUAUAUUUACAAAGCCCAAUACAUAAAAAAUUUAAAAUGCAUAACCCAACACCCAAACUAAAACUCUAUUUAAAUAAAAAUUUACAAUUACAAAUUAUUUAAAUCUAAAAUCCUCCAUUAGAUCCAACCCACUAAACACACUUUAUACCUAAAAAGGCUAAACUAAAGCCCAAAUAAUAUGUACAUUGAUAAUUAAUCCUACAAACCAUACACAAAUGUUCAGCCUCCAUCUCUCUUUCUCCUCUCUGUUCGUCCCUUUCUCUCACCCCGGUGGAUAUCAUCUCCGCUCUUCUGUCUCGCCUGCGCUGCCUCUCCGCCCGCUUCUCGCCAGCCUCGCCGCCCUCCGCCACCACAUAAAACCACACUUCAAACCCAGCGCUACCGUCAGCGGCGACCCCACCACCAGCAGAUGGGCCGAUCAUUGGACAACAUUCCAUUCAAGGAGAAAUUACAGAGUGCUAAAUUAUUAUCUCCAAUAAGAGGAAUCGGAGUCUAUCUCAGGAAUUAUAAGGUAUGGAGAAAAAGAUUGUUGUUUUAUCCGCUGGAUUCAUUCUGAAUCUUGAUUUUCGGCGAGCCUCGGCGAGUUAUGCUAUAGCGACCUCUGAUGAGGUAUCUGAUUGGAUUUCUUCAUCUGGGUCAAGCUGAAAUUCUGAUUCUAUUCCAGUGAUGGACAGAAACAGAGAAGCCAGGAGAGCUAGUAUCGUCGGCUCCAAUGGCUUCAACCGCCGCCGCCACCGAACCAACAGCCUCAGAGACUCUCCAGGUUGGUUUUUCUCGUUUUUUAUCAACAGAUCUGUUUCGGCUCCGCUUUUUCUCCGCUGAUAAUUCGAGCUUUUUUUUGCAGAUGAAGACGUGGAGUUGCAAGAAUCAGUGAGGUUAAGAGAUAAAGAAAGAUCAGGCGAGAGAGAGAGGGGGAAAGGGAGAGAAAUUAGUCCAUAAAUAUGCAGAUUCAGUUAAUGUUGUGUCUUUAUAAAUGUCAAACUUCUCGUAGAAGCCAAUUUUUUUUGCA